rnacentral:misc_RNA from 1 species
UGCCGACCUCUCCUUCUCUUCAUAUCCCCUUUCACCUCCUCUCUCUCCACCCCCAAAAUUCACCUGUCCUCUUCCUCUUCCCUCUUUCUCUAGCUAAAGAAUCUUCAAUUUCGUUUCUGAAAUCUUGGACGAGAGGUGAUUUGAAUCAGAAGAAUCGAUCCAGAAAUGGCUCAAAAGACGGAGAAGGAAGAGACUGAAUUCAAGGUGCCAGAAACUCUUGCCUUGUGUGUUAAUAAUUGUGGAUUUACUGGUAAUCCUGCCACUAAUAAUAUGUGUCAGAAU